rnacentral:rRNA from 1 species
UGUAAGCGUAUACCAAAGUUGUUGCAGUUAAAACGCUCGUAGUCGGAAUUUGGCAGUUCCGGAUGUGUGCACGUCGUGUGCGCACUUCGCGGGGAUUGCUUUUGUGGUCUUGCGUAGGAUGAGGCACUUUUAUUAGUGAACGUCCUCACGCAACCACUUUUUACUGUGAGAAAAUCAGAGUGCUCAAAGCAGGCAUUUGCCGUGAAUGUAUUAGCAUGGAAUAAUAGAAUAGGACUUGGUUCUAUUUUGUUGGUUUGUUGGGACUGAGUAAUGAUUAAGAGGGACAGUUGGGGGCAUUUGUAUUUCGGUGCUAGAGGUGAAAUUCUUAGAUUACCGAAAGACAAACUGCUGCGAAAGCGUCUGCCAAGGAUGUUUUCACUGA